rnacentral:rRNA from 1 species
GACGAACGCUGGCGGCGUGCUUAACACAUGCAAGUCGAACGGAAAGGCCCUGCUUUUCUGGGGUGCUCGAGUGGCGCGCGGGUGUGAAACACGUGUGUAACCUGUCCUUGACUUUCGGAUAUCUUUAGGAAAAUGGGGCUAUUACGGGGUAUGAGCUUUUGCACCGCGGGGGGGGUUGGAAAGUUUCGGCGGUUGGGGAUGGUCUCGGGGGUUAUCUGCUGGUUUGUCGGGUAGGGGCUGUCAAAGGUUUUGACGGGUAGCCGACCUGGGAGGGUGGCCAGCCACAAUGGUACUGAGAGACGGCGCAGAAGCCUACGGGAGGCAGCAGUGGGAAAUAUUACACAGUGGCCGCAAGCCUGAUGCAGCGACGCCGCGUUCGGGAUGACGGCCUUCGGGUUAUAAACCGCUUUCGCCUGUGACGAAGCGUGCGUGACGGUAAUGGGUAAAGAAGCACCGGCUAACUACGUG